ACUCCUACGGGAGGCAGCAGUGGGGAAUAUUGCACAAUGGGCGCAAGCCUGAUGCAGCCAUGCCGCGUGUAUGAAGAAGGCCUUCGGGUUGUAAAGUACUUUCAGCAGUGAGGAAUGGUGGAGUUCAGUUAAUAGCGGCCAUCCAUUUGAUCGUUAGCUGCAGAAGAAGCACCGGCUAACUCCGUGCCAGCAGCCGCGGUAAUACGGAGGGUGCGAGCGUUAAUCGGAAUUACUGGGCGUAAAAGCGCAUGCAGGUGGUUUGUUAAGUCAGAUGUGAAAGCCCGGGGCUCAACCUCGGAA
rnacentral:rRNA from 1 species